rnacentral:tRNA from 1 species
GGGCGAUUAGCUCAGUUGGUAGAGCACUUGCUCGACACGCAAGGGGUCAUUGGUUCGAGUCCGAUAUCGCCCA